CACCAGUGGGAAUGCUUGACCAUUUUUGCUGCACCAGCGAGGACCCCCAGCCUUAUACAUCAAAGAAAGGAGCAAAACGGCAGUGAUCAUUUUUGAAAAUCAGGCUCCGGUACACCACACUGAGAAGAAAUACAACUAUGCAGUAUGAUCCCCAUCACUAUGUAGCUGCACCAACUACCCUGUUAACAUAGAACAGGGGUGGGGAACCUACACCCCGCAGGCCAAAUCCGGCCAGCUGCUUCAUUUAAUCUGGCCCGCGGCAAGUCUCCGUGCCACGGGCUGGAAGCCCUGAGCCUUGCCUCACCCCCGCGGUGUACCAGGCUCUUUGAGGCCUUGUGGUCUUACCACACCCUGCCCAGAAAAGGAGCAGUGAAGGUGGGUCCUCCAGGCCUUCCUAGAGAGGCUGCAGGGAAGUAACCAAUCAGAGCACAGCUGCACCAGUUAAAAGGAGUUGAGCACCUUUGCUGGUGGGGACCAGAGGAGCAAGGAAGGUGCUUCCUGCUGGAGUUCAAGGGAGAACCAGAAGAUGGGUUCUGGUGACAUGGCAUUCUGUGAGGAAGAACUUCAGCGCUGAGUUUCAGAGUCAACAACCCAGUGAGAUGUUCAUGCCACCAUGAGGGGUAUUUAGAAGCAGGAAGACAACACUGCAACCAUUAACAUUUUAAAAGCUUUCUUUACAAUCACAGAAGCCUUUAAUUAACAUUAAUGCUGUCAUAAACAAAAGCUUAGACUCUGGAACACAAUUCUGCAACACGAGAUGAACACUGCAGCAAAUUCCACAGAUUGCCAGAAUACCUGGGCCUACAUCCCUCCCUCUCGGCAGACAUCUGACUGUGACAUAGUUGAACAUUACUC